GUAAGUGUCCUGCGCGAGAAUAAAGAGCGAGUCUGUCCCACUCGGCCUUCUCUGGCAGCUACACUCCAUACGUCCUUCCUAAGUGUCACGGGCUUCCCCCUUGUACGACAUCCAACAUGAGUUUCCAGACCAAGACCACCACGAGAACCUUCAAGAGCGGCGGCUCGAGCUUCAGCUCCGGGGGCGGCGGCGGCUUCAGCUCCGGCGGCGGCGGCGCUAGCUUCAGCUACAGCAGCGGCGGGGGUGGUGGCCGUGCCAGCUUCGGAGGUGGCAGCCGAUUCGGCGGCGGUGGCGGCGGCGGCGGUGGCCGCGUCUCCAUGUCCCGUAGCUCGGUCACCAGGUCUGGUGCCGGGGGAGGCCGUAUGGGUAUGGGAGGCGGCGGUGGUGGUGGCGGCGGCCGUAGCUACGGUUUCAGCUCCAUGACGGCCGAGCAGGCGAGCCAGGCCCUGGUCGCCCUGGGACAGGUCCGAGUCGAGCGUACCGGCGACAAGGACGAGCUGGUCGGGCUCAACGACCGCUUCGCUUCCUUCAUCGAGAAGGUGCGCUUCCUGGAGAACCAGAACCGCAAGCUGGAGAUGAAGCUGAAGAUGGUCCAACAGAAGGGGUCCGGGCCCGACCUGGGGGCGAUGUGGGAAGCCGAGCUCAGGCAGAUCCGCCAGCUCAUCGAGGUCGUCAACACGGAGAGAGGCUCGCUGGAAGCCGAGAGGGACGGUCUGUCCGGCGAAGUCAAGGAACUCAAAACAAGGUACGAGGAUGAGGUUGGAACUCGCGAGGGCCUGGAAGAGGAAAUCAAGAAGAUCAGAGCGGACUUUGAUGAGGCCUCGUUGACCCGCGUUGACCUGGAAGCUCGUCUGGACAGCAUCAAGUCAGAGAUCGAGUUCUUGAAGGAAGUGUACGCUGCUGAAAUCGAGGCUCUGAACUCCCAGAUUCUGGACUCCACCAUGAUCGAGCUGGAGCCGACAGCUGGCCCGGAUGUUGACCUUGACUCCUGCCUGGCAGAGGUCAAGGCUCAAUACGAGCAGCUCACCCGCAUGAGCAGGGCAGAAGCAGAGAGCUGGUAUGCGACCAAGUUUGAUGACUUGCAGAGGAGCUCUGGAAAGAACACCAACGACCUUGCAGACGCUCGUGCUGAACUGUCCAAGUACCAGAACCAGAUCGCCAGGCUACAAUCUGAGAUCGAGUCCAUGAAGAACAGGAAUCGCCAACUGGAAGGCCAGCUGAAGAAUGUUGAAGAGAGCGGGGCGACCAAGCUUGCCGAGAAGCAGGCUGAGAUCGAGGCGCUGGAGGCGGAGCUACAGCGCCUGCGCGGAGAGAUCAAUAAGCAGAUGAAGGAGUACGCAGAACUGCAAAACGUCAAGAUGGCGCUGGACGUGGAGAUCGCCGCCUACAGGAAGCUGCUGGAGGGCGAGGAGAGCAGGCUGCACUCUUUCGACUUCGCAAGCAUCAGCUCGAGUUCCUUCAGUGCCGGCGGUGGCGGCAUGUCGCAGACUAAGAGCAUCUCCGGCGGUGGUGGAGGUGGUUCCUCAAGCUUCGGUGCCGGAGGUGGUGCCGGUAGCUAUGGGGCCGGCGGCGGUGCCGGUGGUGCCGGUGGCGCCGGUGGGGCCUACGGAGCCGGAGACAUGAGCCAUGCUGGCAGUGAAGUCACACUGACCAUCGAGAGCCAGGACAUCAUGGGCAUCCUGGCGGGCAAGAGCUUCUAUCUCAUCUACCGUAAGGAUGACCUGGUCCUGCAGGCAGCCGGCGGUAAGGGCUCCGAGAUCAACGUGGCCAAGAGGUCCUACCCCGAGAAGAAGGAGCAGCUGUGGUCCUUCAGCCGCGACAGGAUCAUCAACGAGGCCAACAACCUGGCCCUGGAGGUGAAGGGAGACAAGGUCGUCGUUGCCGACCAGGCAGGAAAGGGAAACAAGAACCAGGAGUGGGACAUCAAGGGCGAUGGAUUCAUCGGCUCCAAGUCAGGCAACAAGGUUCUGGACGUGAAGUCGAAAUCUAAGGUGGUGCUCAACAACAGGCACGACGAUGCUGUGUGGGAUCUGGAGAUUCACGGUCUUGCCUCCGCCGAGACCCUUCGGUCAAUGUAACGCUUGUACGUAUCAUAUUGCCUCGUGUUAUAUAGCAUCCUCCAGCACUGUUACCACUUCGUACAGCUACAGCAGCAAGUCCACCUCUUACUAGAGCAAAUGACUGAGAAACGACCAACGGAGAUGAUGCCAACAACGAAACGCAAGGACAAAUCCAUCACUUAAGUCCUGCAAACCUUAAAGAAAGUUUAUUCAGAGGCCGUGAGAUGCCGCCUUGAGAUACCAUAAAAAUAGAUCUCCAAAUAACUGCAUUCUAUCUUUAAUCCAUUUAUUUUCGGUGUCUACGUUUGAAAGGUGACUGGCAAAGCUUUAUUGUCUAAAAUCUAUUGUAGGGCAAAAAUUAACUAAUAUAUCCGCAACUUAGCUACAGAACAUAACGUGUUACACGAACGCAUAGAUUCUUUCAGCAGCUUUGUCCUCUGUUCUAUUGUUCAACUCUAACGGUUGCAAAACUACCAAAAAAAAUGUAAGGACCAUAGUCGGUGACAGUGUAUUUGAUUACUCUUUCAGGACACGUUUUGUAACAAAGUUUAGAGAAGAUUAAGUCGCUGAUUUGAAUGCAAUGCUUCUAUGAAUCGAAGUACACUGAAGUAACUUACAUAUGGUAUGAUGCAGCAUUUAGCACAGCUUUUUAAACUGUAAGAAUGAUGCGUAUGGAUCGGUUUGGUACUUGAAUGCCUUACCAGAGUAAUGUCGAGUAGGAUUUGUUAACGUGACAAUGUUAAGAUGUACGGUAUUGUUUACGAUAUGUUUAUGUAUGGGGCGGCUUUGGUGCAGAUUAGAAUAAAAUAAUAAUUGCUCUUUGACUUUGUUGCUGUAUGAAGCUCUAACUGGGAAAUCGGGUGCUCAUUCAAUAAAGGCAACACUUUCUAUAGA